UAUAAAAAUUAUAAACUAAAUUUGAAGUUUUUGAUCUAUUAACUUUCAAAGAAUCAUAACUAGUAAUUUAGAUUAACUUUAUAAAAUUAUGAGCAAAUUGAACAGUUUUGUUUUGUAUAAACUUGUUCAUUAAAACAAAAGUUGAGUUGUCUUAUAUUGGCAAACAAACGUGCACAAAUUACGAACACAUACUCUAUUAAGUGUAAGCAUGAUCGGAUGGAAUGGAUGUUGGGUAUGUUGAAACUUUGGUUUAUUCAAACUCCCUUGAAUACUAAUUCCAUAAUUUUAGUUUAAAAACUUUCGGUUUCUUCGAGACUUUAAAAAUUCAUUUCAUUCACUAAUUUUACACAAAGUACAGGGAGAAUUGAAUAAAACUAUGAUCCAUGAUGUGAAAAUAAUCUACCAAAAAAAAAGAUAACUGUUAGCAUGCCCUAAGUGUAUCUCAUCGUUGAAAGAAAGAUACUAAAGCUGGGAUUUUAGGUGAAUCACAUGAAAAAUGCUACAAUGAAACAAGAGGUGUAGAAUCUUAGAAUAGGACACAUUUUAGGAUAUGCCAAUAACGGAUCAUGAAAGAUAAGGAUAUAAGGAUGGGAUUAAGGUGAGAAUUAUAGAUCAGGUUAUGGUAUGGUACGUUCGGUAAAUGUAUGAAAGCCACUUGUAUCAUUUCAACCAUUUAUUUUUAAAGUCCUUUUACUAACCGAAUCCUUUGCCUCUUUUGGUAGGUGUGGCAUUAUGUUUUUUUCUGUUUUACCAAUCAUUUGAACUCUUAUAUUUAGUUACUUUUUAAAAUUUGUUUCAUAUUUUAUGUUACCUUUUCUUCUUACUAAAAUAGGAGUGAACUUAGACAAAGUGUUAAAUCUAAGUGAAUUCCUGAAUGAUGAGCAUCGUUGGAUAGUGAGCCUUUCGCGUGGGGCUAUCUCAGUGUUAGUGCGAAUCCACGUGCACUUUGCACUGUUGGAUUAUCUAGGGUCAUCCUUCCGAUGAUGCCCAUUUAUUUGUGCGGAGUGAUUGUGCUUCGUUCAUCGUCGGAUGGUGGCACCGUGGGAUAGUGAUCGUCCUUCAGACGAGCGCCCUUUUUUUUAGUGCGGAGUGCGUUUAGCAAUGUGCGCGAUCUUGUCCUUCGGAAGGACGAGUCGGGUCCAAAGACACUGGGAUUAAUAGCAGCUAUAAGUAAUCUGUAAGCUAAAUCAUUCAUACCAACCAUCCUUGGGAGUUCUUGCUAGUCUUUUUCUGAUAUUUCUUGAUAAUUGGUUUUGAAAUAAAAUAGCUAGGCAGGAUAGUUAGGUCUUUAUAAUUAGAAGUAAUCAUUCACAAAAACUCGCUCAUCUAUCACCAAGACACAACACAUUUAGUCAAAGUUAAAGUCAAGGCAUUAUAUUUUAUGUUCUUUUAUUUCUAAACUACAACCAUCUCCAAAGUCAGCCAUACGGGGCAAGACACCAACGUCGCUGGUGCAACACGCAGGUAAAUCGUAAUCACUGUAUCCUAAUUAUACAAGUUGGCAGGAUACCGUGAUCGGUAGGUGCGGGAGUAGUCCUAAGUAAAUUACUUAGGCUAUUCCUGUUAAAACGAUGCGGUAUCCAGGAACUUGUCAAUUUAGAAAUCCUGUGCAAAAUGGAUGUAUUGGAAUUUUGAAGCAAAAACUACUAUUAACAUAGUAGUAAGCGUGAUCGAAAAUGGAUGGGGUAGGUAUAAAGCAGAUAUUAGGAGAUUUAAACUCCUGAUAGAAUGCUCAAAUACCUACAGAAUACUUGAAUGAUGUAGUGUCUGAAAGUCAGCUUCCCUGAUGGAUGUAAGAAGAAGAAUGCAAGCAACCGGUUGAACGAGGAAGGGUUGAAAGGACGGGAACACUGGCGCAAAAAAAGAUUGAAAGGAAUUUAGUGAAGUAGUUUAUAGCAGUAGUUGUAGACAUGUUAAUGGGAGUUGAGACUUCGUAUAAAGUUUCAAUCAUCUUCGCGUAAUACAGGUGCUCUGGAGCCUGCUAGUUAGAGGAAGUCCUGGAUUGCCGUAACGUUUCUAAUGAUGCAUAGGUAUUGGUCACAGUCCUCAGCUAACACCACUUACCUAAUGUAUCUUUCGUGGACGUGGUCCAGGAUUCUAGUAAUGGUCUCAGUCUUCAACUGAGAUCUUUCGCAAAAAUGCAUUAGGUAAGGGUACCUAAUAGCAUUGCGAAAGAUACAGGUUAACCAGGAGCCUGCAACAAAGAGAAAAUCCUGGAUUCGCGAAGCGCAUUUGAUGCAUUGGUUUGGGUCACAGUCUUCAACUAAUACCAUAAAUUCCAAUGGCAUCAAUCCCGAAAACAGGUUAACCAGGAGCCUGCAACAAAGAGAAAAUCCUGGAUACGCGAAGCGCAUUUGAUGCAUUGGCUUGGGUCACAGUCUUCAACUAAUACCAUAAAUUCCAAUGACAUCUAUCCCGUAAACAGGUUAACCAGGAGCCUGCAAUAUAGAGAAAAUCCUGGAUUCGCGAAUUUGAUGCAUUAGUUUUGGUCACAGUCUUCAACUAAUACCAUAAAAUCUAAUGACAUCAAUCCGGAAAACAGGUCAACCAGGAGCCUGCAACAAAUAAAAAAUCCUGAGUUCAUUGAGCGCAUUUUAUGCAUUGGUUUGGGUCACAGUCUUCAACUAAUACCAAAAAUCCAAUGGCAUAAAUCGUAAUAAUCCUGGAUCACAUUUUUUUUAUACGUAGCGCCAGAAGGGUCCAAAACGUGUGGGCACUUCAAACAAGCAAAACUUUCGCCUUGAUGGCGGAAACAAACCGUUGAAUUUGUAUGCCCGUGAAGUUAAAUUUAAUUUCUUUUUAAAGUCUGGGGAAAGACAUUGAUUGUGGAUUCACGAGGCUUGGGUAGAGUCUUAGCAAAGAAGUAGGUUUCAGGUUAGCAGUUUAGGUGGGGUUUUAGUCAAAAGCCGAAUAACCUUGCAAAUAAUUAUUCCAGUUCGAGACUUGUAUCUUGCGUCUAGAUGAACUUCAAGUACACACGAUAUGGUAUGGUCUUUGAAGACAUGUACCUUGUACUGGUAUCUAGAACGCACAAGAAUGGUACAACCUCAAGAAGCUUGUAUCUUGUAUCUAUCAGAUGCACUCGAUAUGGUACAGCUUCUUAUUGCAUGGAUAUUUAUAAAAGGCAUAGUAAAAUUUUGCGCAUCCUUGGCGAAGCGGUCUGUUACCAUAGCUAGGAGAAUAUCCAUGUAUGCCUGGACUUAAAUGGACGGCAAUAAAUCAUGAGAUUUCUCAAACUUUCUCUUAAAGUUGUUAGGCAAUUUUUAUUACAAGUUUGUGUUAGGUAUAAGACAUUUAACAGAUUUUUGCUUUCGUCAAGGAAAACAAACAAACACAUAGUAUUUAAGUACAAUUGAAAUGCAUAUAAUGGAUCUGAAAACUGGAACACAAUUGAAAAGAUUAAUCAUAAAGUUAGAUAUUAUAUUUUUACAUGUAUUAAUCUCAUAUCUUGACUUUCAGUAUUUUUGUUGACGGCGAUCCCCAGAGAUACCUUUUGUUAAUUUUAUGAUUAAUAGUCUUAUGUUUUAGAUCACAAGAAAUAUAUAAAUAUGAGAAUACAAAUAUAGUCAACAUUUUACUAUGAAGAAGUCAUAGCCAUAAUUGACUGUUGACAGGAAAAUAAGAUGUAGGACUAUAUAAUCAACAACUAUAAAAUUUCCAUCUAAGAUAUAUAUGAUAUAUGUAUAAAUUACUUGUCCAGAAUUGUAUAUUUUUUUUUAGGUCAACGAUAAGUUCAACAAGAGGAAGACGCAAAGGAAAAUGAUUGUAUUUUACAAUAUUUCGUGACUAUGGCAUUAGUACAAAAUAUUACCUAUCCCAAUCAACGAACAGAGAAAAACUAUGUAUGUAAAUUGUAAAUUAUUGAAACUACAUGGAAAACUGUAGUUCUAUCUAUGUAUGUAAAUUAUUGAAAUUAAUUGGAA